rnacentral:rRNA from 1 species
AUGAACGCUAGCUACAGGCUUAACACAUGCAAGUCGAGGGGCAGCAGAUCGAUAGCUUGCUAUUGAUGCUGGCGACCGGCGCACGGGUGAGUAACGCGUAUCCAACCUUCCCCAUAGUAGAGGAUAGCCCGGCGAAAGUCGAAUUAAUACUCUAUGUUGUAUAAUGAGGACAUCUGAAUUAUACCAAAGAUUCAUCGCUAUGGGAUGGGGAUGCGUCUGAUUAGCUUGUCGGCGGGGUAACGGCCCACCGAGGCAACGAUCAGUAGGGGUUCUGAGAGGAAGGUCCCCCACAUUGGUACUGAGACACGGACCAAACUCCUACGGGAGGCAGCAGUGAGGAAUAUUGGUCAAUGGACGAGAGUCUGAACCAGCCAAGUAGCGUGCAGGAAUGACUGCCCUAUGGGUUGUAAACUGCUUUUAUGCGGGAAUAAAGUCAGGUACGUGUACCUGUUUGUAUGUACCGCAUGAAUAAGGACCGGCUAAUUCCGUGCCAGCAGCGGC